rnacentral:tRNA from 1 species
GCGGAUGUGGUGAAAUUGGCAGACACACUAGACUUAGGAUCUAGCGCCUUCGUGCAUGGGGGUUCGAGUCCCUUCAUCCGCACCA